GUGAAGAGUUCAACUUUUACUCUUGUGAGAUUCAGAGCCCACCCAGCGCACAGUUCCAGACGUUAAUGAUUAAAUACGGUGACAAGACAGUGUUACUUGCUCCUCCAAUGUUAAUGCCUCCAGUCAUUGUCAUCCUGCGCUUCAUGCUGAUCCCCUGUGUUAUUGCUGCGCUGGUGUUUAUCUGUCUAUGGGAUAAGAAAGU